rnacentral:rRNA from 1 species
GACGAACGCUGGCGGCGUGCCUAAUACAUGCAAGUCGAGCGAAGGCUUUCUGGUGUUUGCCCCGUCAAUACUUUGCCGCGAACGGGUGUGUCACGCGUAUAGCACCUGCCUCAUAGACGGGGACCACUCUUGGAAACGAUCGCUAAUACCGGAUAACAGCGUUCCCUGCAUGUUUGAUGGUUAAAAGUUCGUUUUGUUAUCACUAUGAGAUGGCUUUGCGGUGCAUUAGCUAGUUGGUGGGGUAACGGCCUACCAAGGCGACGAUGCAUAGCCGACCUGAGAGGGUGAUCGGCCACAUUGGGACUGAGACACGGCCCAGACUCCUACGGGAGGCAGCAGUAGGGAAUCUUCCGCAAUGGGCGAAAGCCUGACGGAGCAACGCCGCGUGAGUGAAGAAGGAUUUCGGUUCGUAAAGCUCUGUUGUUAGGGAAGAACGAGUGUGUGGUAAACUGACACAGUAGAGACGGUACCUAACCAGAAAGCCACGGCUAACUACGUG